CACACACACACACACACACAUAUACCCACAUAGCACAGAAUGUUUACAGAAUAUUGCUAGAAUAUUACAUUUAAAAUUUGAAAUAUUUUGGUGAAUAUCUCAGAGACAUUUUGACGAUGUCAGCAGAAUGUUUCAUCCCUGCCGCAAAUUUACUUUAGAACACUAUAGAAUAAAUGUCUAUAAUUUUGAAUAUGUUUUUUGAAACAGGCAUUGCAUAUACGGAAUGGGGUUUUCCUUAUACGACUUUUAUAAGUUUUAAUAAGGUAAUAAACAUACGUAUGAUAGCAACAUGAUAGCAACUGUUGCCAUCAGUUUGCUGUCCGCGUUUAAUAGCAUAUUGACGGCAUGUUGUAAAAAUGUAAAAUUUUAUGUGGAACACUGUUCCACACAUACAUCACAUUUGAAAAAAAUGAGAAUAAGUAUUCGUCUCAAGGUUACAACAAACAACUUCUAAUUAAGAUUCUCAUUGAAGUGUGAGCUGGUGAAUUGGUCGUGGUGGCGCCUACAUAUAACGCCUGUACGCACACGCACACGCAUAUGCAUACGCACACGCAUACGCAUACGCACACGCAUACGCACACGCACACGCACACGCACACGCACAUGCACACGCACACGAACACACAUAGACAUAUAUAUCGUAUAUUUGUGUGUAUAUGCAUGUAUUCCAUUAGUCACAGCAAAGAGCUACUGCGCUCGGUUAUCUUUCCAUGAAAGUCGUUUGGAUACGCCAUCACAUAUAUGUUGUUCAUUCAUGUGCCCACGUGUGCCGUGUGCAAUUAAUUGCGAGUGCAGAUCAGAUUAUAUGUAUAUUUUAGAAGAACGAACGAGAAGUUUAUUUAUAAUCAGAGAAUCCAUGGUUCACUUUUCUACUACUGUUCUUCUACGAUUCACUUUAACUACUAUGUAAACUUGAUUUACUAUAAUAAAAUAUGUAUAAAUGUU